AAACUAUAAUGUGGGCACUUCCUUAAAAGCUCUCUAAAUCAUUUUCACGCUUUAAAUAAAGAUUUAGACUUAUAUUGCUAAAAAUUGGAUAUUUCUGCCAUAAGCUU